rnacentral:rRNA from 1 species
UACGUAGGGUGCAAGCGUUGUCCGGAUUUAUUGGGCGUAAAGAGCGUGUAGGCGGCCAUACAGGUCAGCUGUGAAAACUCCAGGCUCAACCUCGAGACGUCGGUUGAAACCGUAUGGCUAGAGUCCGGAAGAGGAGAGUGGAAUUCCCGGUGUAGCGGUGAAAUGCGCAGAUAUCGGGAAGAACACCCGUGGCGAAGGCGGCUCUCUGGGACGAUACUGACGCUGAGACGCGAAAGCGUGGGGAGCGAACAGG